CAAGUCGAACGGUUCAAGAAUUUUAGGAAUAUUGUUCUUGAAUAGUGGCGGAAGGGCGAGUAAUGCGUGGGCAAGCUGCCCACUGGACCGAAGCAACGUCUGGAAACGGACGCUAAUAUCGGGUGUGGCGGGGGAUCGCAUGAUUCCUUAGCGAGAGGUGGCCGCAAGGCUGCCGCCAGUGGAUGUGCCCAUGUGCCAUCAGCUAGUUGGUGAGGUAACGGCUCACCAAGGCUAUGACGGCUAGGUGGACUGAGAGGUUGGUCACCCGCACUGGGACUGAGAUACUGCCCAGACUCCUACGGGAGGCUGCAGUCGAGGAUCAUUUGCAAUGGGGGAAACCCUGACAAUGCGACGCUGCGUGGAGGAUGAAGGUCUUCGGAUUGUAAACUCCUGUCAUGAGGGAGAAGUUGGUAUAGGCUAACACCCUAUACCGUUGAUAGUACUUCAAGAGGAAGGGGUGGCUAACUCUGUGCCAGCAGCCGCGGUAAUACAGAGACCCCAAGCGUUGUUCGGAUUUACUGGGCGUAAAGCGUGCGUAGGUGGCUAUGUAUGUCGGAUGUGAAAUCCUGGGGCUCACCCCCAGAAGUGCAUCCGAAACUGCAUGGCUAGAGACUGGGACGGGAUGUCGGAAUGCAUGGUGUAGCGGUAAAAUGCGUUGAUAUCAUGCGGAACACCGGAGGCGAAGGCGGACAUCUGGAACAGGUCUGACACUGAGGCACGAAAGCGUGGGGAGCAAACAGGAUUAGAUACCCUGGUAGUCCACGCCGUAAACGGUGCACACUUGGUGUGGGAGGAUUAGACCCCUUCUGUGCCGGAGCCAACGCGUUAAGUGUGCCGCCUGGGGAGUACGGCCGCAAGGCUAAAACUCAAAGAAAUUGACGGGGGCCCGCACAAGCGGAGGAGCAUGUGGCUCAAUUCGAUGCUACGCGAAGAACCUUACCCAGACUUGACAUCUAGCUGCACGGUCGGUGAAAGCCGAUCUCCUUCGAGGGUGCUAGACAGGUGCUGCAUGGCUGUCGUCAGUUCGUGCCGUGAGGUGUUCGGUUAAGUCCGAUAACGAACGCAACCCCUGUGUCUAUUUGCCAGCGAGUAAUGUCGGGAACUAUGGACAGACUGCCCGUUUACGCGGGAGGAAGGUGGGGAUGACGUCAAGUCAGUAUGGCCCUUACGUCUGGGGCUGCACACGUGCUACAAUGGUCGGUACAGAGGGACGCCAAACCGCGAGGUGGAGCAAACCCCCAAAACCGGCCCCAGUUCGGAUUGCAGGCUGCAACUCGCCUGCAUGAAGUUGGAUUCGCUAGUAACGGCGCAUCAGCUACGGCGCCGUGAAUACGUUCCCGGGCCUUGUACACACCGCCCGUCACAUCAUGAAAGCUGUCUGCACCCGAAG
rnacentral:rRNA from 1 species